rnacentral:rRNA from 1 species
GUCUUCAGCCAUGCCACCCUGAACAUGGCCGAUCCCGUCUGAUCUCAGAAGCUAAGCAGGGCUGGGCCUGGUUAAUACUUUGAUGGGAGACCACCUAGGAAGACCAGGUGCUGUAGGCG